CGUGUUCUGGCAGUGGCAUCCC
rnacentral:miRNA from 1 species